AGGGCACCACCAGGAGUGGAGCCUGCGGCUUAAUUUGACUCAACACGGGGAAACUUACCCGGCCUGGACACUGGAAGGAUUGACAGAUUGAGAGCUCUUUCUUGAUUCAGUGGGUGGUGGUGCAUGGCCGUUCUUAGUUGGUGGAGCGAUUUGUCUGGCUAAUUCCGAUAACGAACGAGACUCUAGCCUAUUAAAUAGGCUCUCGGCUUUUAAACGCCGGGAGGACUUCUUAGAGGGACAGGUGGCGGUUCAGCCGCACGAAAGAGAGCAAUAACAGGUCUGUGAUGCCCUUUGUUGUCCGGGGCCGCACGCGCGCUACACUGAAGAGAUCAGCGUGCUUUACGUUCCUGCUCCGACCGGAGUGGGGAACCCAGUGAACCUUCUUCGUGAUUGGGAUAGAAGAUUGUAAUUAUUCUUCUUGAACGAGGAAUUCCCAGUAAAUGCGAGUCAUAAGCUCGCGUUGAUUACGUCCCUGCCCUUUGUACACACCGCCCGUCGCUACUACCGAUUGAACGAUUU
rnacentral:rRNA from 1 species